UGGUUCAACCCGCACACAGCCUAACUUGUUAACAUCAGGUUGAAGCUGAACUACAGAGAAAGGGUAAUCAUUCUUUCGAUCUCCUUCUAUCUUGCUUGUUGGUCUUUUUAUGGAUAUCUCUUGGGUUGGAUAAGAUCUUAAUAAGCCUUAAGAACCAGGUCACCGCCGGUCCUAUCAUACUUUCCACGACGAGUUGCCAAUAUCCGAAAUUUUUCUCUGUUGCGUUGAAGUGUGCUUGUCUCAUGGAUAUGUUGUCAUGUGAUCACUACAAUCUGUCUCGUAUGAAAAAGAUGGGAUCUUAAUUUUGUCCUAAGUGUCGGAACAGUAUCUCGGUUAUCUUUGUCGUGAACUGCGUCUUCUGUGUUGCAGCGAGAACGUGCUCUAUUUCUGGCACUGAACUUGUCGCCCGAUGAACCUUGGAUGAGAUACUUUGUAUUGAAUUCCAAAGAAGAUCGAUUUAUUGGUUGGUUGGUUGACCUAUUCAAUCUACUGCGACUUGAUGUCCUGCCGAGUUUUGAUUGGUUCAGAAUAGAUCUCUUCUUGCAGUUUCGGGAUCGGUAUUUUGAAGCAAUGAUUGUCUAUAGACUGCAACUAGGGAAUUGAGCCGUUCAUUAGUAGCUUUUUGAUGCAUCUUGUCUCUCGAAGCGCCUCACCAUAUUUUGCAUCAUAGUCAUCACCACGGCCAAGUCUUGCUGUGCAGCUGAUGCGACUUGGCCUCCGGUUCGAGUGUCAUCUUCUUCGACCAUCGUAGAUCUUCUUUGGCGCUUAUUUAUAAUUUCCACUGAUGAUGUCAGUUAUUCAAUUUGAAUUUGGCAUGUUCGAGAUGAAAUCACAAAUUUUAUGGUGAGUUAAUUGAAAGAUAUUUAUUGGAA